rnacentral:rRNA from 1 species
GCGAACGCUGGCGGCAGGCCUCACACAUGCAAGUCGCACGAACCUUUCGGGGUUAGUGGCGGACGGGUGAGUAACACGUGGGAACGUGCCUUUAGGUUCGGAAUAACUCAGGGAAACUUGUGCUAAUACCGAAUGUGCCCUUCGGGGGAAAGAUUAAUCGCCUUUAGAGCGGCCCGCGUCUGAUUAGCUAGUUGGUUGAGGUAAUGGCUCACCAAGGCGACGAUCAGUAGCUGGUCUGAGAGGAUGAUCAGCCACAUUGGGACUGAGACACGGCCCAAACUCCUACGGGAGGCAGCAGUGGGGAAUCUUGCGCAAUGGGCGAAAGCCUGACGCAGCCAUGCCGCGUGAAUGAUGAAGGUCUUAGGAUUGUAAAAUUCUUUCACCGGGGACGAUAAUGACGGUACCCGGAGAAGAAGCCCCGGCUAACUUCGUG